GGGUGACACAGGGGACGUAAGACACAGCUGUCACCGCGCCCCAAGAGCUGAGGGCGCUGAGCCCCGUGUUCCCACAGGGGUGGCGGCCCGGGUUGGUCCCCCUUGCCGGAGUCUUGUGGCCCUGUGUGCUGAUGCAGCGACACGACAGCAGAAACCUCGGUGGUUUCUGAGAGGCAGGAGAAACCUCGGUGGUUUCUGAGAGGCAGGAGAAGCUGUUCCUGUCAGCCAAGGGGGACAAACAAGGCUUCCACUGCGAGCUGUGGCUUAGGAGUAAUUUAAGUUACCCUGAGCCACAGCCCAGAAGUGGAGUAGUGAGAAGAACUCUGGAAGGAACAAAGAUCCUGGCCCUGGGAAUACACAGUCCUGGAAGUGGAGCAGCCAGUGCAUGUCUGGGGGGUGCACACAGUGUGCAAGUGCCUGAAGAGAGGAGGCACCUGGGCAGACCAGUGCUGGGUGGGAAGGUGACUUGGAAGAGAGAAACAGAUGCUUUCUGAAAGCUGACGGCAAAGUGAAAACAAAGCCUCUUCAGGCAGCCCGAGUUGCAAGGUUAGGUAGGCCUGUGGAGGUGGGAGUGCUGCUCCCCAGAAUCUGAGUGCUCUCUUGACAGUCCUUUGCUGAGAAUGAAAUUGCAGAAAUAUUGAACACUUAUUGAACUGUCCCUGCAGUGACUGUCCAUGCUCAGAAACUGAAGCAAAUGGGAUAGAGGUUUUUGCUUUGUAAGAGCAGAGUUCUGGGAAGUUUGGGGUCUCUACUACUAGCAGGCACUGUCCUUCCCAAGGGAGGAAGGCUUUAGGACCCACCAUUGAAGGGCUGUGAGGAGAAAUCAUCUGAUUCUGCUGAUCCCAUAGGUGAGACUCCCCUGCAGUUGCUUGGACUGCUGAAUUGUGUUUACAGGCAAGGGGGAAGGGACCCUGAAAAAGUGGUGAUCACUGAUGCUGUUGCCUGAAAGCUGCAAGGUCUGAGCACAGUUCCUGCUGGUAUCACUUGAUAAGCUGUUGGGACACCAAGGGGUAACUCACACGCCUUGUUCUGGAUGGUGCAUGCCAGGAGAUGGGCAGAGUAGUGGCACAAGCAAGAAUAGUGCUGGGAGUUCAGCUUGGAAAGCAUUUUAGAAGUGGUUGGAAAAUAUGUUGACUGUUGCAGUGUUGAUCCUGAUAAUUUUGUCCGUAGGAGAAGGGGUGGGUUUGGGAUAUGUGUCUUAUGUUUGCACUGGUGAGGUGUUAACUACCCUGGUCUGCAGGGGCAAGGGUUGGAGUUUAUAGUGAAUAUGCAGUCAGAUGAUGAUUAUGUUACAGAUGGAGUUUGAAUAAGGGUGAAACAAUUCUUAACUUACCUUUCAAUAAAGUGCAGGGUGGAAUGUAAAGAACA
rnacentral:lncRNA from 1 species